rnacentral:snoRNA from 1 species
GGGCAAUGAUAUCAAGAGAGAUAAUUGAGUGAAAAGUAUGAACACACUCUCGUGGAAUGGGAGUAAGAAAAAACUUCGAAACUGAAGAAGAAAUGUUUUGACAAAUGUUUCUUUUCCUUUCUUGAUUCUCUCUCUUCAUCCAUGACCUUUUAUGAUGGUCCUUCCAAUUUGAACAUUUGAUAUAAGCUCU